rnacentral:rRNA from 1 species
UACGAAGGGGGCUAGCGUUGUUCGGAAUUACUGGGCGUAAAGGGCGCGUAGGCGGCGUGUCAAGUCAGGCGUGAAAGCCCCGGGCUCAACCUGGGAACCGCGCUUGAGACUGGCAUGCUCGAGUUCGGGAGAGGAUGGUGGAAUUCCCAGUGUAGAGGUGAAAUUCGUAGAUAUUGGGAAGAACACCGAUGGCGAAGGCAGCCAUCUGGACCGACGCUGACGCUGAGGCGCGAAAGCGUGGGGAGCAAACAGG